rnacentral:rRNA from 1 species
UGGGGAAUAUUGGGCAAUGGGCGCAAGCCUGACCCAGCAACGCCGCGUGAAGGAUGAAGGUUUUUCGGAUUGUAAACUUCUUUUAAGAGGGACGAUAAUGACGGUACCUCUUGAAUAAGCCCCGGCUAACUACGUGCCAGCAGCCGCGGUAAUACGUAGGGGGCAAGCGUUAUCCGGAUUUACUGGGUGUAAAGGGCGUGUAGGCGGGAUUUCAAGUCAGAUGUGAAAACCGAGGCUCAACCUUCGGCCUGCAUUUGAAACUGAAGUUCUUGAGUGCUGGAGAGGCUAACGGAAUUCCUAGGUGUAGCG